ensembl:lncRNA
AACCAUUCUUAUUUAUUUAUCAUAUUAUUUUCUCUGUUGUUUCAUUUCCCCCAUAUACCUGUAAAAAGCCUUUUUGAUUCCUCCUAAAUACUUUGUCACUUAUCAGUUUUACUUAUUUCCAGUUCAUACAUUGUACUCUCAAAUAUGGAAAUUGAUUUAUUUUAUUGUUCCUUUCUAUAGUAAAUAUAUUUUUUUCAUAUUUGCAGCCAUAGGCUUUUAUUCCUAUUUCUUGCCAAGGUGCAUCUGUGCUUGCUUCUAUGUAUUCUUCUCAAAAGUCUAGUGCCUUUUUUCUAUUACUUUUAUUUUUUUCCAAGUUUCCCUUUUUUUUUUUUUUAAUUUUUAAAGUGUUUUUUAUUCUGAGAGACAGAAGCUGGUUUUCCUUCCAAGAUACAACCUACAGGAUUAUAGCAAUGAUUCAUUUGGACAAUUCAAGUUGGUUAGCCACACACAUAAAAUUUCUCACCCACAAUUUUUGCAGCCUCCCUUCCCUCCUGCAGUCUGACAAGUUCCCUGUGUUGGAGAAAUAACAUAAUCCAUGCCUGAAAGGUAUGCAUUAACUGUACCUGACUAAAAUUCAUGCAGGUCAGGAAUCAUAGCUUGACCAUCCCUGUUUUAUAAUAGCUCACAAUGUGUGGAGUCAUCUUCCUUCACUUGAAGCCUUGAGCUGACAACUGGAACAAGUUCUUUUUUAACUUGUUCCAGUUAAAAAGGAACUGGAAAAAAUUAAUUUGUUUUUUUCUCCUAUGCUCUGAUUAGGAGGAUAAUAAACUGUCAGUCAUGUUCCUAGUACCUUUGGCUUGACAUACAGACCUGCCUUUUCCGCCCCCCUGGAAAUUGGUAACUCAUCCAGCAAAAAACUGAGCACAAGGGAAAGAUUUCUCUCAUGUGAGAAAUCUUAGCAAGUCCAUAACUACUGCUUUACCCUGUGCACAAAAGUCACAGAGUCCCUUCUGUACUGCAAAUCCACAACAAAAUAUGUGAACAAACAAACACUUAUCAAAGCAAGAGAUUUUUAAAACAGCCUUAAGGUGAGACAGAAAAGACCCAUACCAGUGUCUGUCUCCCAGGUAUACAUGAAAGACUUAGAAUAAGGCUUUCUCUGCAUGUACAUAUACAGAAAGGUUAUGUAGCAAGGGAGAUACUUGCCUUUUAUCCAUAAGAAGAAGAUGACAGCAGUACACCCAGGAAUCACAGUUCUUUGCUGAGUGAUGGGCCAAAGUGCAUCAGCAAACAAGCCUGCUUUGCCCUUGGUCUCCCACCAUUGCAGAUUUUGGUUCCUGCAGGAAAAAUCAAGCCUCUCUUCUAGCUGGGGAGUGCAGACCAACCCACAGAGCUGCACUGAGGCUGCUUCUCAGCUCAGGAGCUUCCCUGCUUUCAUCUGCUUCAUACAAGCCAGAAUCAUCUACAAUCACCCAAAAAGAGGCACUGGAUUAGUCUUUAUUCUGGAUUUAUUCUUCUUUCCAUAGAGAUUAUGGGGAGCCUAAUGGUGUGGGACCUAGAGUGGAAAGGUGAUGGGAUAGAUUAGGCAGAGGAGGAGGAGAAUGGUUGCGCACAUGCUCCCACAGGAGCUGCGUCGGUCUCCCAGGGAGGUUUCUGUUGAUUAUCUGUCAAUACUCAGGCCAUGGCAGCUCAACACCAAAGCAUUUUUCCCAAUCUGGGUGCAAGCAAAAAAUUUACUGGGAUACAGUGGAUAUGCUAAAACCCAAGUCAGUACAGAAAAACUGUAUUUACGACACAGCCUUGGCCUGCCUUUCAGGAUAUGUUAUUUUGAACAAUGGCUCCAGCCACUGUCAUAGUCCUCUCUUUUCCACACCUGAAACUUUCCUCAGGAAACAGGAUCACAAAAUUUGCUUUAACAGAGCUUUUCCCACCGAUUUGGCUGUACAUGUAGUAGAUGUGGCCUCUUAAACCAAAGGCAGUGGAGUUCUAUUUUUGUGAGGUCUUGCUCUGUCCUGGGUUUGACUUUCAUGUAUGUGGGAGAAAAUUAGCUCCUUCUAGAUUCUCAGAAUGCACUUACAAAAAGCUGCAGCAGAAAAACUGGAAUUAAUUGAAUACCAAGUGCUAUUAAACCUUCAGCUAGAUUACACGAGUUAAAAGUACAUCAGAGCUGUUGAAUUGUAACUAUUAAUGUAACACAAAGGAAAUGAAAUGAGAUCACCAGUGUUACUCAAAUGAAAUCUAAUGCUGUUCUCAUAAUGCAUUAUCAGGUUGGACGAUUGCUUGGUGGCUGAUAGGGCAAUUCCAGCACCCAAGCUCUUGACCAAACUAGUUAGAGUGAUUGGUUUUCCCGAUGCCAUGUGAACACCUGCAAUGACAUUACACCCUGUAAUUCACUAUUCAGAGAUGAAACAUUGCAGAGGACCUGGUCCCAUCUCUAUGCAGGAAGCAGUGUCAGUGCUGGUUUCCCUGUGCAGGCUUAGAGGGUUUUAAACUGGGUGCUAACUUACAGACCUAGACCAUGGCUUCACACAUGAGAUUUGCAAGUUCAAGGGCGUCACUCCAAGACAUUUAGGGUAAAUGGGGAUCACUUGUGCAAUGUCUCAACUUUUUAACCACCUCACAAAUUUUGUAACACAGGAGUAGCUGCUAGGUUAUUUCUACAUGAGUAAGUAUAGUGCCUUCUAAGGAUUCAGCAACCAAUACAAUCAAUCAAUCAAUCAUGCCAGAUAUACAUUUAUAGCCUCUUACCUCUCCAAGACUUUGCGGCAUCUAUCCAUUAGGCUUCCAGAGGAGGCUGUACAAGAUCAGCUGGUGCUAAGCAAGCCUAGCAGAGUCAUAGCACACAGCCUUGAUUUGCCACUGUUUUGUGUUUGUUUUGCCAAAUGCCUACCUUACAUUUGAAUUUUCUCAACUUAGGGAAAUUUGAAUGCUUGUCUCCUGUAUUCAAAGAAUAUCCUAAUUAUGAUGCAAGUAGCUACAGCCUUCAGGUGUAACUCAAUGCACUUUUGGUGUUGAACAAGAAAGCUGUUAAGAAGAGUCUUGUAGGUUUACACUUAGGAACAUCCAGGAAAAGAAGGUACCUAUCAUUUUAAUCAACUCCUGUGAUUAAUUUUAUUAUUUUAUGCAACAUAAAAAUGCAUUGCCACUACUUUUAUUUAUCAAUUUACUGAGUAUUUUGUGCAAUUGUUAUUCAAAUUCACUAAAAUGGAUUAAAAAUAGAAAUCUGAAUUGUUUAGGUAGCUCCAAGACUUGAGAAGAUGUCUGCAUAGUUAUAUUCUGGAUUUCUUUUAAUAUCUAAGUGUCAAAAGUGAAAAUGAACAUGACAGCUGUGAAAUACUCAACUUCAAUUGACAGCAUUUUAAAAUAAAGCCUCUGUGGCUUUGCAAAGGAAAUUUUGCUGGAUCUUGAAUAUAAAUGAACCGGUAAAACUAGCUCUGCUCAUUCCUCUUUUGUUAUCAGUGGACAGAAUGCUAGGCCACUGUGCCAGGGCAGACCACUUGCAUAAAGGUGGAAACUUUAGAGCCCAGGUCAGAAAUAUAGUCAGACUUUUUAUCUCAUCAGCACUGAGUGGAAGUUUCUUCUCCAGUUAAUUCUCAGGGCACUGCAGAGCAAAUUGAUUGAAAUGAGCCUGAAGGUGUAAUAGUAGCUGCCCACUGUAUGGGAUAUGCAUUGCUAAUUACUACUGAUGGAAAUCAUAAUUACUUGUGGCUACCUCUUGAAAAAGUAGACUUACUUUAUAAAAAAAAAGAAAAAAGAUAUUGUUAUUUCCUUCAUCUGCUUGGUGUGGGCUGGCUGCUUCAAUGCAUACCAAAUGUGGAGUUUUUAAGACAAAUUAUGAUUUCACUUCACUAUACUUAUAGGUCUGGGCUGCAUCUUUGCAAGACACUGUGCUCCUACAUUGCCAUCCAAAGUAAAAAGGCUUUUUUUUCUGUUCCUAUAAAGCCGUAUUACUAGUGAAGCUUUACAGAGGAGCAACAACUGGAGCAAUUUUCUGAAGAUGAAGUUAGCAAUAGUGCGGCUUUUAGUUCCACCUCUUAUGAAAUGCGUAUAACUUUUUUCCCAUAUAGUAGGGAAUUGUAAAUUAAUUCUUAUGUCUCCAUGGGUUUGAAAUGAAAACGAAGCCUUCACAGUUCAAUGAAGUGGAAAGUCUUUCAUCAGAAGAAAAUCAGCCAAGGAAUUGGAUGGCAAAGACCUCAUACAUUACAAAACAGUUGGUUGCAAUUAAGGCCAGGGGUAAGAUAUGCAUGAUUCGGUCAUGUUUCCUUUUGUCUAUUUAAUCAGCCUGAGGCAUAACAUCAGAUGGCUUGAAGUAGCAUUGUUUCCUUGUCAUAUCCUAUGUUUUGCUGUAUAUUAUAUGUACUUUAUAUGUACUGUAUCAAAGGACUACAGUCUGUUCAAAAUAUAGAUGUUUCAUAUCCUGAUCAAUAACCAACACACUUUCAUAGAAGCAUUAACAUUCUAAGGUAGUGAGCACUGCUGCUGAGGGGAAAUUAUUUUGGAGGUUGUUAGGGAAUCAUGUAGUAAUAACGUCAGAGUUAAAUUCCUUGUACCACAGCCCUUCUCUGUGGUCACAGUGGCAAAGACAAUGACAGCCUGUGCUGAUAUUUCUCUUUCUGUCUCACAAGACAUACAUUUCAGUGAGAGCUGUGGAUCACUGUGCACCAUGAGAAAAAAAUUUUGAAAUUAAUAAGAAGCUGAGUGGAAUCAAAGCUGAACUGAAAGUGAGCUAGACAUAAACUAAAAAGAGUCCAGUAGUUUGGUGACCAUCAGCUACUGAAGUCACGCCAUGCUACUGCCAGUUUUACUAAAAAUCUCAGAACAGCAGGUAAUCUUACUUACCAUAUGCUAAGCACGGUGCAGCAGAUGGACCAUGGCAUUCUAGUCUUUUCUGUGCUUUCCUUGCGCUUGUCAAUUCAAGCCCUGGGAAAAAGGCUGGUAUCCAGAUUGAUAACACAUGGAUGUUCUCUAAGGGCUUUCAUCAGUGCAUUAUUGCAGAAAGGACUGAAAAUCCUUUCUCUAUAAAUUCAAAUGAAGUUAGGGAUAGUUGGUGGUUCUGAAGAUGGUUUAUUAUGUCUGUCUCAAAGUUGUCAAAAGGUAAGUCAGCCUUUAAAAAACAGAUUAGCCAGAGCUGAUCAGCUGGUAGAAGAGUGCUAUGGAAUAUCACAUACAAAGUAUCUCCUCAAAGAAGCUCAUAAAUGAAGGAAAUAUCAUCUUAUAGGUACUGAUCAUGGUUAGUCUGGGCACAUGCCUGUUUCACUAGGAUGCAUGAGCCUUCAGCAACAAAAUCAAGUUGUUAUAAUGCAGAGACUCACUGGAUCUUAACUACUGAGUUUUAAAUAGUCUUUUUCUUUGUGAAAUAAAUUUUAUGUGGCAGACUCUAAAUUAAAUAGAAAACUAACAGCAGUGUAGCUAAGUAGACAGUUGGUGUCCUCAGAACUAAAGAGUACAUUAACAAAAAAUGUCUGAGAUUACUAUUAAAAUCACUUUUAAUAAUUUACCUAAAGUCCUUAUCUCUGUAAACAAGCUCUUUAAAAAGUGAAAUUUAACAUUAUUUAUUCUGCUUCUACCGUCUUUUAUAAAUCUGAGGACCAAGCAUGCUCAGGGACCUUUAAUAAGUAUUAAGUAGUGUGGCAAGUAUUUUUUCAAGAAACUAAUUAGACAAUCCAUAGCAUUUUCGAGGUGAGUAAGGAAGGAAGAUAAAACUUCUGUUAUCAUAUCCUUAUGUUUAUUAUCAGAUUUUAAAGUUACUACCCAAAUUUCUCUGAUUCACUUUGCAUAUUUAUUCUAGCAAAAUGAUAACGUAAGAAGGCUUAGAGGACUGCUUGGGGACACCUCUUCAGUGGGUUCAAGGUGUUUUUGGCUAAGUACAAAAAAGAGGAAGGCACCCAGUGCUAUUACCUCUGAAGCCUAUCCUUUCCCACUGGAGGCGUCCAAUGACUGCCAACCACUCGAACAUGGAAAUGUCUUGAUAUUUUCUUUGUUUUAAUGCCCUGCACAGAGCAUUAAAUUCCUGGCCACUUCUAGUGACAGAUACUGAUUUUAAAAUAUGUUUGCUCUGAUCCAGAGCAGUUUUAGUGACAUUACUCAUCCUUUAAAGCCAGUUAAUCUUCUGGCUGCCUAGUGAACUGAAGUAGCUUCACAUGGAAGGGGCAGGUAAUUAUGAGAGUCAGUGCAAAUGGGUGGGAAAGAGCACAUUGUAUGAGGAGAGAGACUGGGAUCUUGGCAAGCAUGAGCUGAGUUGACUUAAAUUGCCAUGGGAUUGUAGACUCCUUUUACACACCUGGUUUCUAAAGUUAUUUUUACACAGGAAAGAAAUAGCAUUUUAAAAGAAAGCAAAGAUACCACUCCCUGUGACAUUCAGCUCCUGACUCCCCCUCAUGAAGCAAGGUCCUUUGUGGACUUCCUGGUCUCUGUAGUCUUCUCAGCCUGUCCUGAAACCAGCAGCAGUGAUCUGUAGGACUGCCAUUAAUAAAAGGUCUCUCCUAUCACAGGGUUCCAGUAAAUUCCAGCAUGAGAAUAGAUCAGCUAUCCAGGGAGUAAAUAUGUACCCUGUGGUGCUUCCAUAACCUGGGUUUGAGCAGUGGCUGGACUGGCUUGUGACACUGGGUUUCCAGUUUCUCUGUGGUCUGUACAACAUUGAACCAAUGAGCAGUACCCAAUAAGAACUAAAUGGUAUAGAGAGAUUUUUCACAAGGUCACAGCAUAGUUGAGGUUGGAAGAAAAAUGCAACCCCCACUGCUCAAGCAGAGACACCCAAACCCAGUUGCCCAGGACAGUGUUCAAAUGGCUUUUGAAUAUCUCCAAUGAUGGAAAAUCUACAACUUCUCUGGGCAACCCAUGCCAGUGCUUUACCUGCACAUUAUAAAAGUGCUUCCUGAUGUUCAGAUGGUGGUCCUGUGUUUUUAGCUUGUGGCCAUUUUCUUUUAAAAAUCCUGGACUAUUAUAAUGAAACAUGUUGCUAAAAAUGGUCUGUCUUUUUUAUUCUUAGAGAUUGUGGCAAAAAAAAAAAAAA